rnacentral:rRNA from 1 species
UACGUAGGGCCCAAGCGCUAUCCGGAAUCACUGGGCGUAAAGAGUUUGUAGGCGGUAAUUUAAGUGAGAUGCGAAAUCCUGUGGCUCAACCAUAUGGACUGUGUUUCAAACUGGAUUACUUGAGGUAUGCAGAGGUUAGCGGAAUUUGCGGUGUAGGAGUGAAAUCCGUAGAUAUCGCAAGGAACACCAAUGGCGAAGGCAGCUAACUGGGCAUUACCUGACGCUGAGAAACGAAAGCGUGGGGAGCGAACGGG